AUAAUUAUUGUUACCAUAAUAAUAUAAAUAACUUACAAAUAUAAAUACUACAUGUGUGUAUAUUUUAUUUGAAUAGAAAAUGAUUAGUUAAUUGUUUUGCUCUAGGUUGGAAAAAAUACAAAUAAAAUAUAAUAAAAACGAAGUAUCAACUUAACUAACUGAGUCUCCGUUUUCAGUGUAGGGUGCCGCAGCGCUGCUCUUAUUAAUUGAGUGAACAUGUCCAUUUUAGGACAAAACGUCAGAAGAGCAACGUAACCUGACGUAAGAGGAAAAAACGUAAGGGUUACAAAAACCAUGCGGUUGCAACAUGUUCGGUGCAAGCGAGAUGCCAACAGGAUUAGGCGCAACAGGCUGGCGAGCUGUGGGCGGAAGCGAGAUGGCUCUACCAACCAACGAGGGCUAAUAGAAAUGCGACAACAAAUAUCAAGAACCGGGGCGUGUGAGAGUGAACGGGAGAGCGAGAGACGGGGGAACAGCUGUGUGCGACGCAACACGUUGGACGUCGCGCUGCCAACGUUUCGACGUAAAGCGCUAAACCUAAACGACAUCUUCUAUAUAGUUCGCUAAAUCUGAACGUUAGUACACAAGUCUCCGGGCAGAGGUUCGCUCUCAUCCCGAAUAACAGCGCUCUGUUAGCGGCGUCGAACAUCUAGCAUAGCGUCGGCAGAAUUCCGGGCAGAGCGAAAACGAAGACAUAGUUUCCCCAAAUCUGAACGUUAUUAUGAAUACAGUUGAUCGUGGGCCUCGUGUGCCAAUGGACGUAAGGUCCAGGAAAAUAGAAACAAAAAGUAGAAAUAAAAACACACAAAGAAAAUAGAAACCAGUAAACAGCCCAAAUAAACCACAAAAAAACCUGAACCCUUGAGGAAAUCAAAAGUCAAGAGGAGCGGACAAGUGCAACGCCCAAAACUCGGUCAAGUGUUAAGAGAAAUUCCAAAUAAGUUCUUCUAAUGAAUUCUAAUUCGUGACGAGUGUGUGUGUGCGGAUCGGGAGCCAACCGAUAUUUUUAACACCUUCUACCGGGUUUUACGCGUGUUUCACACAUUUCCAGCACCGACGGAUCCGGCGAUCCAAUCAUUCACCCAACUCUCAGAAAAAAAAUAGAAGAAAGAAAUAAACGCGCGAAUUAAAGCCCGGCUGCCAGAACUUUUACACGUGUUUCGAUCGCUUACUCACUUAUUCAACAGUAUGCCCAAAAAUUAAAGGCAAUUAAGCAAAUUUACCACGAUUGAUUAACAUUAAAAUUAGGCAAUGCCAAACGAAAUGUGUUAAUAAAAGCCGCAGCCAAAAAAGAACACAAAGAAUUCCUGUAAUCGUUGAUUUUGUAAUCACAAAGGGCCCAAGGAAAAUCCAAGCCGCCAAGGUAACAGGUGGCAGCUUAACUUAAUCAAAGAAAAAGCUUGAAGGAAAAAAUUGUAAAUGGGUAAAUUAUUAAACUGUUCUUAACUCAGAAAUCUAACCAAAAAAAAUCUGUAAACAUAUUCUUAUCUUAAAAGAAUAGAAUUGUUAAGUCUUUGUUUUCAUUUUUUUUAAACUAUAGAUUGAUACAUAUUAAUUUUUAAAAGACACGAUAACUGUUUUAAGCUGAUCGCUUAAUUUUGUAUAUGUAUUAAAAGUUUCGAGUAAUGUACCGGAACAACGUGGAAAUUGGUAAUCCCGCCAAAUUCGUCUAUUUAAUUUUAGGUAUAGAAGAAAAAAGAAAUUUUGAGUUCAUGGAAAGUUUUAAUUAAAUUGUUAAAUGGUUCGAAGUUAAUUUCUGACACAGUAUAAAAAUUAGAUAAAAGCUCGUGGUUUUUAGCAAUGAUAAACCUCCAAAAAUUCUUUCAUUGCAAAUACAUUUUAUCUUAUAGAGGUAAAACUAUAGUAAGCAGGAUUUUCUAAACAUAUAACAUUACACUAUUGUAUAUCGCUUGAAUAUCAAAUUAUUAAAAUAAAAAGAUAAUAUGGUCAGAAAUUAAAAAAUCUAAAAUCAUUUGUAAGAUUUUCAAGCCCCUCUUUUUUAUACGUAGCUCAGUUUCAAUUUGAUUAAUCAAUGAAAGCCACUAAAAGUAAAAAGAGGCGGGAAAUCAAAGCAGUGGGUGGUGAAAGGGGCGGUUAGCGGAGGGGGCGUGGCGGCUAAUUGAUAGGAGAAAGAGCGGCGACAGCGACGCCAAGAAACCGUUACAAUGUAUGCGACAAAGGAAUGUGUCACAGUUAAAAAUCAAAUCACACGUAUACGUAUACGUAAUGAGAAAAGCAGCAACGCAACAACCUCGCGGUCUUUGCAACAUGUUUGAAGCAGCGCUGCCUACGUCGCUGCUAGCUGAAGAUCGCGGCUAGAGAUGGUCGCGUGCCACUGUACGAUUCAUUUCAACUUGUUAUCUCCUUCACUUAGUUACAAACAUCUGACCUCAAAUUAAAAGCCUUUCCUUUUUACAUUGAAUGCUUUAUAGACUUUAACAAAAUCUUGUUAAAAUAUAAAAAAAUAAUAUAAUUUAAAUAAAACAAUUUAAUUUUAGAUUUCUCUUUUGAAAAGAAUCUUGACUACAUUUCACUAUACAAAAAAGGAUGACACUCACGAACCCGAAAAUGAUUAAAUUGAGACACACGUGGUCACGCGUGUCUUCGUGUCACGCUCGAAAAAACGCUUCCAUCUCUAACCGCGGGCAGCUCAGCCGACGGCAAAACACAACUCGCCGGCGUCGCAGCUUUCAAUUCUUUUUUGGUGCUCGAUCGUGACGGUUUGUUCGCUCUGCUCUGCUCUGCUCUCUUCGGUUGCAUGUGUGUGUGCGGGCGUUAUUGUGCAUGUUUCCGGUGGCCGAAAAAAUAAAAUAAAAUAAAAUAAAAAAUCAAGAAUAACAACGGCCACACGAUACACAGUGUCGCAGUGUGUGUAUGUGUGUGCAUCUCGCGUAACAAUAAUAAUUGCAUUUAUCGGAUGGCGCCAGCUUCAAUUCAAUUAUAAAUAACAUGUACAACUUUAUUACGUUUUUUCCUGCGUCAAAGUAGGCGUUAUAUACGCCCCGGACAAUCACGCGCGCCGGUUCAAAGUUAAAGUUUAUUGGGUAACACACACACACACUUAAAUCAUCUAAUGGAGCCUGGCUUUGUUUUUGUUUUUUUGUCAUCCCACUUGAAAACAGAGAAAAAAAAUCAAUACUCGUUAUGGGAUUAAAUUUACAAAGCGGGAAAGAGAACGUCAACCAAAAAACACAAAAAAAACAUGUAAAUCAACUCGCAACGAAUUUCUUAUCGCCAAGGGGCCAAUGUUCCAAGGUUUUCUUUUGGAACUUUGAGCUUCCUCUGCAAGUGGAGAUUAUAAAACUGUAAAAAUAAGGAAAACCUAUACAAAUGGGAUACCCUAAACUUGCUAAUUAGCAAGGACAUCUGUUCACAUCUUACCGGGCAGCAUUAGAUCCUUUUGAUAACUCUAAUACUGUCAGGUAAAGAUGUCGUCCGUGUCCUUAACCUUCAGUACGAACAGACCAAAAACCAAAACCAAACAAAUCAUAAAAAUUGCAGGAAAAACAAGUUUUUCAAUUGUGCCUCGGAUCGGGGAAAAAAGAUCGGAAGGAUGGGAUGAGCGCUGAAAAGGAGUGGAUAAUGCGGAGACAAGCGGCAGAAAAUUGGUCAUAAAUUCUUAUUUUUUGCAGCGGCAGAACGACGCGUUUUGGGAUGACAUCAGUUGAAAAUAUAAAAACGAGAGGCGGCGAGAUCGUUCCCAAUUCCCAUUUCACCAUUCCCGGACCCCGGCGGAGUCUGCAGGUAACCACUAUAAUGGCUAUGGGUAUAGUGUACAUAUAGAGAAAGACUGAGAGAACGUAUAAAAAAACAUAUUUUAUGGUUCCGCUCGCCGCCGCGGCGGCUGCUGCUCGCCAGUUUCUUAAUUUCAUCGCAGCAGCAGUAUUUAGUGACAAAAAGCGUCUUCUUUUAUGAUACCUCUCCGUAAAUCUCCCCCUCUAUAUCCACAAAUUUACGAUUAUAGUCAACUAGGCAAGGCAGCAGGUUGAGUUAAGUUUCAUUUCGUUUCGCCUUUUUUUUCCCCUCUUUCGGGGCCGUUAAAUGCUCAUAAUUUGAAAUUAGAGAAAUAUGAAAUAAGAAAUAAGAAACCGCAGCCAAAAGCUUGCCAUAAUCAAACAAUUAAAUGCUUAUAAAUCGCCGAAACGUGAUCGGGGAAAACGCAGCUCAGUUAAUAUGAUUUAUACGAGGACAUGUGCUUGCGGUUAGAGUAAUUGGUCGGAACUGCAAAUUGUAUUCAAGAAAAUUAUCGCACCUGAUGGACAUUAACUAUAAGAUUUAAUUAAGAGGCAAGACCACAGAAGGCUAAGGCUUAUUAAUGAAAUAAACUAGCCAACUAGAAUUAAGAUGAAUUAAGUUUUUGAAUGUAUACGUUUUAAUGAACACGACUACUUAAAGUGUUUUCUCUUAUUGAUUUAUUAGUUGUGUCAUAUUUCACAGAUAAUAAUAUUUUUUACUUAACAGUCUUAUAGUUAAAAAAGAGUGAGAAAUUAAAAACAAUCGUCGAAGAGUAAUCAUCAUACACCAAUAUUUUCAUAAAGCAUUUGCUGUAUUUCCUUACAACUUAAAUUGCAUUCACAAAAUCAUCCUUAUCUCUUAAAUCAUUUAGUUUAGCCUUCCCUAUUUCAUCCUCUUAUGUCAUUCACUCAGUUUCUUGCAUUCAAAGUUAUUGAUAAGACUCCACUAGACCUAGACAUGAUAACAGCCUGCAAGCUGAUCCCCCCUAGAGAUUGUACUAAAGGCCUCAAAUUUAUCUUUAUCUCUCUUUUUUCGUGACAGCAUCAAUCCGUUGAGUCUGUAAUAACAGACAAAACAAAUACAAAUUCCAGCGAGUGCCACCUGGCAAACAAGCGACUUAAUUGUCAAGAGUGUCCAGAGUCACAGGCAAGCCUAUAUUUAUACGAUUAUAUAUGAUAUGUGGUUAAGGCCCACACACGAGAGACUCUGUUUAUAUAGAGACCAGAAAACAGAGAACAGAGAACAGCGACCAGAGACCAGACCUCCACCGACAACAGAGAGAUAUAUGACGCAAGGCCCAAGACUCGAAGGAAUAUAGGGAUCGUAAAAGCGUUUACAGGGCUUUUAAAUUUUACAGUUUCUUGCCCCAGUGGGUAUAGUUUCUGGUUUCCAGGCCGCCGAUGGGGUGGCGGGGGGUUAAUCUAAUCAGGAAAACGAAAAAUGCGUUUGUCGCGGUCUAGCCUGGUCUAAACGAUCCCCAAAGGGCGGAACGACCAACGUAACCAGAACGAAUAUAACACCUGUUAAUGAACUCAGCACUGACUCUAAUGAAAUGUGUAUAUAUGUACCUCCUGCUUGAACCUCCCAACUCCUUUCCUCUUGUGUUGUUGCCCUGGUUGUGAAGUGUCGUAAAAGUGUAAGCCCAUUCUGACUGUUUCAAUGGAAGGCUGCAUAAAUCAAUUAAAUCCACGGGAUUCAAAAGCCCUCCCUUGAAUAAUGCAUAACUAGUUGAUCCACUGAGUAAUAUAUUCCACAUUAGAGUUCGUAGUAAUACGACCCAAGGUAGUGAAUCACACAUAUCAAAGAGCAUUGUCUGUUUAGAGCCACUGAAUGGGUGUUAUUUUAAAAUGUUAUAAAUAAAACUAUAUGGCAUAUCCAGCCACAGAAGAAAUUUAUUUCAUAAUUCCAUAGAAAAAUCCAACGGUCAAAUAAACUAAUAAAAACUGCACAGUCAGCAAUCGUGUGACAAUUUCACAAGCAACAACUAAUUGCUGCCUAGUGUUAGAAUGUGUGUGUGUGUUGGCCAAUCUACAAUUUAAAUCGGCCAAUAGAAGGUCCAGUUUUGAUAGGGAAGCACUUCACAAUGGCUGUGCCGAUGGCGCAAGUGUUAAUCGCAAUAGCGACGAGAACACUUGAUAUCCACAUGGAUCCACUCUAAACGAUAAUGUCGCGUUCACACCACACGGUCCCAGAACACCCCCCACUUGAGCUGCGCAAAAAAAAAAACAAUAACGAUCGAUUGAAAGUCAGACAUAGCAAAGCCAAGCUAGACAAUCGAUUCUGUCAGUGGCCAGGGGCUAAAAUGUUGAAAUUAAUUUCAUAUGGCCGCAUAUCUCACCGCCGACAUCUGAUUUGUGUUGGCCAGGUGUGUGUUGGGCUCGGCCCAUUGAUAUUUCGUUUCUAAUUAUUUGUAACUGAUUGAAAAACUAAUCAACGCUGACCAAUAAAAGUUUACACGAAUAGGAUGGGGCUCUAAACUUACCGACUUUACUUUACUAAUCAGCUUUAGCCCAUAAAAUUCUCCAAAGGCUUGUGGGAAAGGGCGUUGAGCAAGGUUUCUUUGCUCAGUUCCAACUGCUUUCAGAAAUCGGAAGAAGAAAAGUCCUAAGCGUCAUCGAAUCUAAGUACUUCAUAUGGUAUAUGGAGAGCUACUAUAUCUAAUCAAACGUCAAGCCGGGUGUAUCUAAUCAAGUGCGGGAGGAGAGUAUCUAAUCGUCUAGGAGAUACUAUAAGUGGACAGCCAGCAUUAUAUAUACAUGGAUUUUUUUUUUUUUUACCGGGGAUUAGGUUAUUCUUAAGGAAAAAAACUAUUUUAUAUAAAGGUGAUAUUGUUUUGGUGGGAUCUUUAAGUUAAAGUAAAUAAAAGUAAACUUUGGUAUACAAAAAUAUUUUAUAAGCAUAAAUUAAAGUUCUAUAAAUCAAUUUUCAAGAAAAAUUAUUAUUGUAGUCCCAAUUUCACAUUUAAAUCUGUAAAUAAAACUACUUUAUAUGCACAUACCAAUUUCUGUGUUUGUCUUUCAAUCAUCAAUACCUUCCACAGCAACAGGGAAAGGGAAUGGAAAAAAAAAGAUUGUGCUUGGCCACUGGAAAUGGGCUCAAAUCAAAAUAUUGAGCAUGAUUUAUAAAUUACGGGCUGUAGCAUAAUACGCCUUGACAUGAUAAUAAAAGCGAUUCGAAUGGGGAACAUAAUGACAGCAAAGAGACGAUGAACUGCAGCGAUAAAGGGGUAUAGGCUUAAGAAGGGGGCAACGAAUGGGCGUAAAUCAAUUAACAGCUAACAAAGCAAUCAAGCUGUAUUAAUAAUAUCGAAGAGGCAGUUUCAUAAAUGACUUGUGCAAAGUCAUGCCCUGUCACUCCUUGAAUUGAUUGUGUCAAAGCCAAUAGGGAACUCCCGAAAAUGCAUUCGAUAGUCCAAUUGAACAUAAUUAUUUCUCACUCUUCAGAUGCUGGAUGUCUCCAACUAAUGAACUUACCAUGUUGGUAGAAGAUUGUUGCUCGAAGAUUGGUAACUGGAGUGCCGCUGAAAAUCAACUCUUGUUCGGCUCUUUCAACUCCGGAUUUUUACUCUUCUCUGUGCAUUAAUUAGUUAUACACUAAUUUCCAAUUCCGAUUUCAGUCAUGCAAAUGUUAAUUGACCACUUAAGUUAAAACUUCAUAAUGAUCGUUAAUAAUACCGAAUGGGGCAGCAGCAGCGAAGAAGCGUGGCUACGGUAACUGUGGCCGAAAGAACAGGUUCAAAACCCUAACUAGCCAAGUCCAAAACUCGUAAAAGAUAUGCAACCAAUACCAAUGCCAAUACCCACAAGUGGCAGCGAUAUUAAAACCUUUUGCGACUCCGCUGACGAUGCGAUCUUGUGAAACCCGAACCCAAACCCCUUUCGAAGCCACGGGCUCUUAACUGUGCAUUAAUGAUCUUCUCAGCCAGCUCAUUUAUAUACUUUAACCAGCGACAAGUCGGAAUCUCUGGGCUUAAAUAAUUUGUUACUUUGGUGUAAGAAAUAACACAAGUUGGCAAAGCUGUGUGCUUAAGGACUUGCUUGAGUUUUUAGAUCAUGCUGCAUGCAAUAUAAAUUAUUUGUCUUCGAGGUGGCAAUUCUAAAAAACAUGCUCAAAUUAAACUAGGAAUUAUAAAGUUUAUCUAAGUUAUUUUUUGUAAACAAUUUUUCAGGCUUUUAAAAGCAGUUGAAAAACAUGAAUUUUUUGUAUACAUCAUGUAUGUAAGUUAUCUUCUUUACAGUAGUUUUUUCGUAUUUAAUAAGUCUUAUUUUUGGUCCCUGCUAUUAACUAUAAUGACUAAUGAGCUAUAUUUUAUUACUUGCGUUUCGCAUUUAAUUUGGAAUACUCAAUUGAAUUCCCAACAGUUAUCUAAAUUGAUCAAGAAGUGGAACUCGAAGUGCAAGCUCAUGGCUCAUAAUCAAGGGCAUGAAGGCUAUUUCCUGCUGGCCCAACUUGAUUGCACUGAUUGCCGGCACCGACAGGUAAAUCCGAAAAGAAGGAGAGUCCAGAGACUCCAGAGACUCCAGACGGGUGACUCGUGCCGCAGAAACAAUGCCUCAAGGAGCGGUCUCCCAGUGUCUAGUUGCCAGUUUUGCUGCAGCUAGCGCAACUAACUCAGCGCCCCUUGGCCACAGGUAAUUGAACGCUGGCCCCCCUCCACCAAAUUCACCUGAGCUACUGUUUCCAUCCCAUGGCACGCCUGCUCUUUAGCGAAGGUCUACAGUGCACAGAAAAAAAAUUCCCACCUCCUAAUUUACAGUCUUUUCUUAUGAUUAACGUUACGUUACUUCUUUAUAUAACCACAAAGAUCCUAAUCAAUAAAAAGUUUAUUAUAUCUGCGUAUAAAA